rnacentral:rRNA from 1 species
UGGGGAAUUUUGGACAAUGGGGGAAACCCUGAUCCAGCCAUCCCGCGUGUGCGAUGAAGGCCUUCGGGUUGUAAAGCACUUUUGGCAGGAAAGAAACGUCGUGGGUUAAUACCCCGCGAAACUGACGGUACCUGCAGAAUAAGCACCGGCUAACUACGUGCCAGCAGCCGCGGUAAUACGUAGGGUGCAAGCGUUAAUCGGAAUUACUGGGCGUAAAGCGUGCGCAGGCGGUUCGGAAAGAAAGAUGUGAAAUCCCAGAGCUUAACUUUGGAGCUGCAUUUUUAACUACCGGGCUAGAGUGUGUCAGAGGGAGGUGGAAUUCCGCGUGUAGCAGUGAAAUGCGUAGAUAUGCGGAGGAACACCGAUGGCGAAGGCAGCCUCCUGGGAUAACACUGACGCUCAUGCACGAAAGCGUGGGGAGCAAACAGGAUUAGAUACCCUGGUAGUCCACGCCCUAAACGAUGUCAACUAGCUGUUGGGGUCUUCGGACCUUGGUAGCGCAGCUAACGCGUGAAGUUGACCGCCUGGGGAGUACGGUCGCAAGAUUAAAACUUAAAUGAAUUGACGGGGUCAUA